GAGUUUGAUCUUGGCUCACGAUUGAACGCUGGCGGCAGGCCUAACACAUGCAAGUCGAGCGGUAGAGAGAAGCUUGCUUCUCUUGAGAGCGGCGGACGGGUGAGUAAUGCCUAGGAAUCUGCCUGGUAGUGGGGGAUAACGCUCGGAAACGGACGCUAAUACCGCAUACGUCCUACGGGAGAAAGCAGGGGACCUUCGGGCCUUGCGCUAUCAGAUGAGCCUAGGUCGGAUUAGCUAGUUGGUGAGGUAAUGGCUCACCAAGGCGACGAUCCGUAACUGGUCUGAGAGGAUGAUCAGUCACACUGGAACUGAGACACGGUCCAGACUCCUACGGGAGGCAGCAGUGGGGAAUAUUGGACAAUGGGCGAAAGCCUGAUCCAGCCAUGCCGCGUGUGUGAAGAAGGUACUUCGGAUUGUAAAAGGCUACGUUUAAGUUGGGAGGAAGGGCAGUAAAUUAAUACUUUGCUGUUUUGACGUUACGACAGAAUAAGCACGGCUAACUCUGUGCCAGCCGCCG
rnacentral:rRNA from 1 species